CAAUAAAGAAAGAGAAAGGUUAUGAAAAAUAAAGAAGUAACAAUAUCAAGAAAAGAAAAAAAAAAAAAAAGAAAGAAAAAGGGGGAAAUUUUAAAAGUUUUUUUUAAAAAAAAAAAAAAAAAAAACAAUUUUUAUUACCUCUCCUGGGAUGAGAGAGAGUGAAGUUCCACCAAUAGAUGAGACCACCAGGCAGAGCGGACAAAGGUUUGGCGAAAUGGACAUACACCACCAUCAUCAUCCUGUCGAAGAUGUU
rnacentral:misc_RNA from 1 species